AGCCAGGCAUUAUUUCCUGGAGGAUGGACUGGUUUGAACUGUGGUGUUGGAGGAAAAUUCUGAGAGUGUCUUAGACCGGGAUAUACUCCAAGAAAUAAAGUCCAACUGCUUACUGGAGAGAAGGAUAUUAGAGGCAAAGAUGAAGUACUUGGGCUAUUGGGGUCUGCCUGUACUGCUGGUUUUCUCAGUGACUCAGGCUGCAUCUACAUUAAGGUAGAAAGAAUGCAGCCUGGCACCACUUUCACUGCUCAAUGUUAUGGAACUACAGGAACUUGUAGUUUGACAAGCUCUUGAGCGCUUUCUGCUCGAGCAGGCUGAUACGGGCCAAACUCCCAGGGUUCUGCGACAUUGUACCAAGUCAAUGAAAGUGGUGUCAUUCUGGGUUGUUAUGCGUUUUUUUGGGCUGUCUGGCCAUGUUCCAGAAGCAUUCUCUCCUGACAUUUCACCCAAUCUAUGACAGGCAUCCUCAGAGGUUGUGAGGUAUGUUGGAAAACUAGGCAAGUGUGGUUUAUAUAUCUGUGUAAGGUCCAGGGUGGGAAAAAGAGCUCUUGUCUGUUGGAGGCAGGUGUGGAUACUGUCAUUAAUCACCUUGAUUAGCAUUUGAUGGCCCUGUGGCUUCUUCCUGCCUGGGAGAAUCCUUUGUUUGGAGUUGUUAGCUGGCCCUGGUUAAUUCAUGUCUGGAAUUCCUUUGGUUUCACAGUGUUGUUCUUUAUUUACUGUUCUGAUUUUUGUUUUGUUUUUUAAUACUGAGAGACAGAUUGUGUUCAUUUUCAUGGUUCCCUCCAUUCUGUUGAAGUUGUUCACAUGCUUGAGGAUUUCAAUGGCUUCUCUGUGUAGCCUGACAUGGUGGUUGUGAGAGUGGUCCAGCAUUUCUGUGUUCUCAGAUAUUAUGCUGUGUCCCCGUUGGUUCACCAAGUGCUCUGCUCUGGCUGAUUUCUCUGGUUGAGUGAGUCUGCAGUGCCUUUCAUGUUCCUUGAUUUGAGCUUGGGUAAAGCUGCGUUUGUAGACUUGUCCACAGCUGCAUGGUAUUACAGUAGAUUGCAUGCAGAGAUGGGCUUGCUAGUAGAAGGAACCCCACCUCCGUGGGUCUGGGUCCGCCUCUUGGGACGCCUCCUGCGCUUUGCUGGCGCUUCUCGCUCUCGGGCUCCGGGCGCCCUGGAGCUGCUAAGGUGCCGACUGAGCAGGCAGAAUAACUUGAAGAAAGAAAUGCAAAAAAGAGGGAACAGCAAAGGAAUGAACGUGAACAAAGAACCCUUUUCUGAAACCCAGGUGUGUCCCUUAAAAUGGAAAAGCAAGCAAGAACAAUUCUUCGCUGGGUGA
rnacentral:lncRNA from 1 species